CAGCAGCCGCGGUAAUACGUAGGGUGCGAGCGUCAAUCGGAAUUACUGGGCGUAAAGCGUGCGCAGGCGGUUGUGUAAGACAGGUGUGAAAUCCCCGGGCUUAACCUGGGAACUGCGCUUGUGACUGCACAGCUAGAGUAUGGCAGAGGGGGGUGGAAUUCCACGUGUAGCAGUGAAAUGCGUAGAGAUGUGGAGGAACACCGAUGGCGAAGGCAGCCCCCUGGGCCAAUACUGACGCUCAUGCACGAAAGCGUGGGGAGCAAACAGGAUUAGAUACCCCGGUAGUCCCUGUCUCUUAUAC
rnacentral:rRNA from 1 species